AAAGGUCUAAUAUUCUAAUCCCGAUCCCCGCGUCGUACCCACCGCCACCGAGAUGGCGGCUACCACGACCGCGAUGGAGGUUACCGCGACCGGCACCACCGCCGAGGCCGCCGCCGUUCCGCCUCCAGCGGUCGCCGAUUUGAUGUUCAUAGGUUGUUGGAAGUUGGUGUGCAUGAGGUUGGGCCAUGUCAAACAGCAUGUCCUGAACGGGAUUAAGUGCAGCUCCAGCGUGCGCGACAAGUGAAUUGUGGACUGCUCCAAUCGAAUCGUGAACGUUGUAGGAGUCGAACGGUGGUUGUUAUAACCAAAAUCGAAGCUUGCAGACGUGCUGAACUCUCGGCUGCCAGCCUGCCUCCCACCUGAAUAAAUUAAUAUGUUCCUGUACAUGGCUGGCGCAGUUUGCUACUGCGAGAGGAGAAAGGAUGGGUACAGAGAGAAUAUUUUAUUUGCUUUAUGGGGUCCAUGACUCGCUUUAUGGGGUCCAUGACUCGAUGCUGACGCUGUAGGUAGCGAACCAAGGUUCUGUUCGGUAUCCGUGGAUUUGAGAGGUCGAACCAGCAGUGGAGCUGCCCUAAGGUGUUAGAAGGUGGAGAUAGUCAUUGGUUGAGAUGAGGGAACUAAAGGAGCUGGGACAUAAGAAACAGUGUGAGAGAUGUUUCUUUUGAAUAAAAUUUGCAUACACUGCCCAAUUUUAGAGUAUGAGAUGUUCUUCAUCUCUUACACUUUCCUAAAUUUAUCUCAAACUUACCAUUUAUCAAUUUUAUUUUUACUGGACACAAUCACUAACUCUACCUCAAUCCGACCGAACCCUUCUAAACUAUUGCAUAAGCUACUAUCCUUGUCCAACCCACCGACAUCUUCCUCGGCUACCAGUGUUACCUAUAUUCCAGGCACUCUGUAAGAAUCUGACUCGGGCUCUGGUAUCUGAUUCAGCUCGCAAAUAUCAUGUAGAAUCCAAGUUGUUGAAGUAUAAGUGAAUUGCCCACCUCUUCCCAUCAGCUUAAACUUUUGGGUUGAAUUGGUUGGUUCAUGCAACUCAAUAUGGUAUCAGUGUCAGAGGUCUCGAAAUUUUAGAGCUCAGGUGUCUCGGUAACACUGACUGCCUGUUGAUGCGGCUCACCUGCUUGAUAGCUAAUUAGACAUCUGGCAGCAUUUUGUUACUCCUACCAGCUCACCUGCUGCACCUGCUGCUCCCAUUGUACUGGUGCAAGGGGAUGGGGCCCAAGCCUGUAACAUGCAGUGCCAGAGUGUGAUCCUUUUUUUUUGUGAAUUCGAAAAAUGGCAGAGAAGACUAGGUGGAAUGGAUGCAGGCAUGGUUUAUGAUUUUCUUGAGAACUGUUCUGUUAUGCUUCAUUGUCCUUCAUUUUACAGUUUACAUUUCAAUUUCUCUGCAGUGUUGUCGAAAUUGUAAAGAGGUUUUGGAUCAAACACUUAACUGCUACUAAUUUACACUUACAUGAUUGCUUUUGUGUUUUUUGUAUGGUUGACUGACCCAGUAUCAACAACAACAACAACAGCAACUUAGCCUUUUGUCCCAAGCAAGUUGGGAGAAAUAUAUGCAUAAAAAUCGCUUGCAAGAGUUCUGUGUGCAAACAUACAAGAAUCUGCCGAUCUACAAGGUUGAGUUUGAGGGCGAGUAUCAUCAACCUAAGUACAAAUGCACAGUAGAAGUGGAUGGUAAGCAGUUUUCAUCAACUAGUAGUUUCAGUCGUAAGAAGGAAGCAGAGCAGGAUGCUGCAAGAGUGGCUUAUGAGAUCUUGGCAACAAUUGGAGAGAGUGAUGUUAAAGAGGUCUUUGGGCUGAUCAAUCAGGAUGCGGUGUUCUGCAAAUCAAUUCUUUAUGAAUUUGCUGUCAAGACAAAAACCACUUGGCCCUCUUACUCUGUAGUUCGUCUCGAAAAGCCCUUCACCAUGUUUGUUGCAUCUGUGGUGUUUAAUGGGAAUACCUAUACUGGUGAAUCUGCAUCCAGCAAGAAGGAUGCAGAGCAGAAUGCAGCUCGUGCUGCGAUCAAGUCAAUCUUAGCUACAGAUAACUCUUGUAUGAUUGGAAUCAUUAGGUCAAAGAAGCAACUCAUUACUGCCAUCAAAUCUUCUGGAAGCACCCCAACUACUUUUACUCCUAUAAAGUUUACGCGCCCUGUUGCAUAUGCAGCAUAUGGCGGACCGGAUCAUGUAGCACCUGUGUCACAACAUAAAUCUUACUCAUUAGGUGUUCAAGGACACAGCAUUGUACCAGCAGUUGGGACAUCCGCCAACCCAUCUGCAAAAGCUGUAACUGGUUCAAAGAAGCGCAAGCGCAGAGUUGGAGCAGAGGCCAAUGAAACAAUGGUUGCCAAGGGGCAUUAACUUCUCACCCAUCAACACAAGUUUACUCAAAUUGUUAUUUCCAGUUGCAUGCCAUCGUAAUGUUUUGUGUUGAUGGUUCGCAAAGGCCCACCCCGUUAAUGGUGUGCUUAGAGUUGAUGGAAGUAACUGGCUUGCUCACAUGGUGCAGCGUGGCAUGUGCGUUUCUUCAGUAGGAUAUUUCAACUGAUAUGGGAUUGUUAUUUCCUUCCUAUCGCUCUAUAGAGCUGCAGGGUUAGGGUUAAUCAUCUUUGCCAUUGCCAAACAAAACUUCGGCGAUGUACUUAGUUCCUCCCUCCUCUUAGGACUUCUACAAGUUAACCAGUUAAUGUGGUGUCCAACUAAUGUCUGCGUAGUCUAUGUAAAGAUAUGUCCUGCGUCUGAUCAUCGCCGAUUCAUUGUGCUGGGUCCGUACAUGGUAACACAAUGUGGUAUUCUGGGAAGAAGCGAGCUUGUGCUUUCGUUCCUACUCAUGUAAACAGGUUUUUGGCAAUCAGUGAUAUGGGAAACCGUCGUUAUGUUCGCCUUGUUA